rnacentral:lncRNA from 1 species
AAGCCAAAGCGAAGGCUUUGAAGGCCAAGAAGGCAGUGCUGAAAGCCAUCCACAGCCACACACAAAAAGGAACAUCCACAUGUCACCCACCUUCCUGCGGCCAGACACUGCACCUCCCGAAGACAGCCCAGAUAUCCUCAGACAAGCACCUCCAGGAGGAGCAGGCCUGACCACUGUGCCAUCAUCAAAUUCCCGCAGACCACUGAGUCAGCCAUGAAGAAGAGAGAAGACAACACACUUGUGUACAUUGUGGAUGUUAAAGCCAACAAGCGUCAGAUCAAGCAGGCUGCGAGAAAGCUCACUAAUACUAGUGUGGUCAAAGUCCACACCCCGAUCAGGCUGAUGGAGAGAAGAAGGCGUAUGUUUACCUGGAUCCUAAUUACAAUGCUUUGGGUAUUGUCAGCAAAAUUGGGAUAAUCUA